rnacentral:rRNA from 2 species
AUGCAUGUCUAAGUAUAAGCAAUUAUACCGCGAAACUGCGAAUGGCUCAUUAUAUAAGUUAUCGUUUAUUUGAUAGUACCUUACUACUUGGAUAACCGUGGUAAUUCUAGAGCUAAUACAUGCUAAAAAUCCCGACUUCGGAAGGGAUGUAUUUAUUAGAUUAAAAACCAAUGCCCUUCGGGGCUCACUGGUGAUUCAUGAUAACUCCUCGAAUCGCAUGGCCUUGUGCCGGCGAUGGUUCAUUCAAAUUUCUUCCCUAUCAACUUUCGAUGUUUGGGUAUUGGCCAAACAUGGUUGCAACGGGUAACGGAGGGUUAGGGCUCGACCCCGGAGAAGGAGCCUGAGAAACGGCUACUACAUCCAAGGAAGGCAGCAGGCGCGCAAAUUACCCAAUCCCGACACGGGGAGGUAGUGACAAUAA